rnacentral:rRNA from 1 species
GAUGAACGCUGGCGGCGUGCCUAAUACAUGCAAGUCGAGCGAACAGACGAGGAGCUUGCUCCUCUGACGUUAGCGGCGGACGGGUGAGUAACACGUGGAUAACCUACCUAUAAGACUGGGAUAACUUCGGGAAACCGGAGCUAAUACCGGAUAACAUGUUGAACCGCAUGGUUCAACAGUGAAAGACGGUCUUGCUGUCACUUAUAGAUGGAUCCGCGCCGCAUUAGCUAGUUGGUAAGGUAACGGCUUACCAAGGCAACGAUGCGUAGCCGACCUGAGAGGGUGAUCGGCCACACUGGAACUGAGACACGGUCCAGACUCCUACGGGAGGCAGCAGUAGGGAAUCUUCCGCAAUGGGCGAAAGCCUGACGGAGCAACGCCGCGUGAGUGAAGAAGGUCUUCGGAUCGUAAAACUCUGUUAUUAGGGAAGAACAAAUGUGUAAGUAACUAUGCACGUCUUGACGGUACCUAAUCACAAAGCCACGGCUAACUACGUG